rnacentral:lncRNA from 1 species
UGGAUUGAAAGAAAGUAAGGUAGGAAAAUGUCUUCUCAUGUAACUCUUGGAGCUUAUGGACCAUGUGAGAAUUCAGAUGGUGAACAUGCGAAAGAAGUAGCACAAUGGGCAGUAACAGAAUACAACAUAAAACACCGCCAUGAACGUCCUUACUUGUACCUUCUUAGUGUAUUGAAGUGCGAGUCGCAAGUGGUGGCUGGAACCAAUUGGCGUCUGGGGUUGAAGUGUAAGGAUGAAAAUAAUAUUGAGGUAAACUGUGAGGCUGUUGUGUGGGAGAAGAGAUGGGAGAAUUUCAGGGAGCUCAAAUCCUUCAUAGUAUUCUACCCAUCUUCUGGUUGACAAGGGAUAUCCCCUUGUAACUCCCUACCUAAAGCUAUUGCUUUUAUGCAUAUGUAUGUUAUGUACUUCCCCUCCUUUACGAUCAAUAUAUAAAGUAAAAUAUAUUUUAUUGCUUAUAUACAAAAAGUAUUGUAUUUUGAAAUUUUGGAUUAUAUUGGAUUGACAUAGUAAGUAAGCAACUAAACUGAAGUGACAAUAUAGGUAAGCAACUCAAGAAUGUAUGUAUAUACCUAUAAUGCUUUCUUUUUAAGUGUUGAAUUCACCAAACACCAUAUUUCUAAACGCUUGCAUUAUAAUUGAGUUAGCAAAUGGUUAACUUAUUAACUAAAACAAUUUAGAUGUCAGGGUGAGCAUUUUUUGAAGAUUUUCAAAAAAAUAAAUUCUUCUAAAAAAUGGAAACCAGCUAAUGGAUGAUAUUAGUUUCACAAUGUAUUUUAGCUUAGAAUUUUUUCUGACAAAAUGGACUUGAAGUUAAAGUUAACUCACUUGUAAGAAAUAAGUGCAAUCCAAGAUAUGAAAAUUUUUGGAAGGUUUAGCUAUAUCAUGUAAACCUACUUGUAAAAGAAGAGUAAAUGUAGCUUGAUCCUUUGAGAGAUACGUGUCAAUCUCUAGUUGCAACCACCAAUCAGAUUCACAUAUAAUAAGGGUAGAGGAGGCAACCACCAAAAACACAAGAUGUAACAGAAGAUUAGUUAGAGAAAAACUUCAUGAAUAUGCAGGGUGAGUGGAAAAAAAGGACAAACACAACAAGCACAUUGUAUAGUUGUCAAAGAAGUAAAAAAGUCAUUCAGUAUAAACUGUACUGUACAGCUCACAACCACAAAUUGACUACAUUGAAAGCAAAGGGUGGAUCAAUAGAAAGCGUAAUCCAACUACUCUGAAUUCAACAAACAGUAAAAUACAAAGCUAAGCAGAUCAAAACUUAUUUUAUUUCCUAAAAAAACAUAAUAUGAUCAAAGCUAAAUGAAGAGCACACUAAAGUAUGAGCUAUGUGUUUCAAUAUCAACGGAAGAAGAAACAAUACAAUUUAAUUAAAAGAAACAUAAUAUGAUCUAAAAUCUUAAGAUUCAAUUUAAAGAAACAAAUUGUCUUACCAUAUUCUAAAAUCCUAAGAUUCAAUUCAAAGAAACAAAUCACCUAUAGUUUAUUUUAUUUUCUAAAGAAACAUAAUAUGAUCAAAGUGAAACAGAUAGCACAUUAAAGCACAUAACGUUAUGUGUUUCAAUAUAGACGGAAGAAGAAGCUAUACAAUUUAAUUCAAAGAAACGGUGUAAAACAAUGAGAAAAGAAGAGGGGGGAGGGGGAGGGGGAGGGGGAGAUGUCUAAAGUGAAAGCAACAAAGUCCAUAAUGCGGAAAGGGGCAUGUCUACAUGAAAAGCAACAAAUGCAAUAUGAUUAAACUCAAUAAACGAAACUUAGCACUUCAAAACAUAAUGACACUACUCUUAAAUGGAUGAAACUCAAACAUUCUAAAACAAGGAGGGGGCAUGUCUAAAUUGAAAACUAAAAAAUGGUGUAAGCAUCAUGCACGUUGGUUUUGUCAUCAAGAAAGUAUAUAGCUGAAAGUUGUACCUCUUUAAAGAAAAUGGUAUAUAAUGUUAUGUUUGAAGUGAUAACUUUUGUAAUUGAUAAACGGAUGAAAGCCCAAGCAUAUCGAGUUGAAAGAUUUUCAAGACUUAUUACUAUUCCACCUACCAUAGCAAACAUCACAGAAGGCAAAUUAUAUCAUACAACAUUACAAAACCUAUUUUAUUUACCAUAUUGUCGACAUAAACAUAUUUGUCAAGUGCAAAUUGAAAAAACCGCCUCCAAAGUAUGAUGGUGUAGUUGCAAUUAUACUUUCAAACUUUCCAUCAUAAAAAUUGAACGCCCACAAACUUAUACAAUAAAACACCCACAAACGUGUACAAUUUCAACAACUAUGUAAGUCAAAUUUUAAUAUUUUUGUAUAAGUUUGAAGGAUUUUAAUUUUACCAUAUGACUAUGAAUGUGGUUUUUGUAAUUAAUUUACCAAUUUUUAAAGAUUGAGAUGAUUUAAAUUCCAUUUUAGUUCCUAAACUCUUAGAAGACAACUAAUUUAACACGUACUCUAUUAUUUUUCUAUCUAAUAACAGUUAUCCAAAUGUUUGUCAUUAACUUAUAUAUGAUUAUAAAACAUGUUCGAAUCGGCAUGCUAGUACUCAGACUUGAAACUAUGUCAUUGAUAAGAUCAAAAUAUCAUAUACUUUAAGAACUUAAGUACUAAACUACACUAAACUUGAAGAUAUUAUAGAAAACAGAGAGACCUGCCAUGAAAAGUGUCUUGUAUAGAUAUGAAAAUAGAAGAGAAAAAUAGAGGGAAAGAAAUGAACCUGAGAAAGCUGUUGGAUAAAAUUAAGAUGAUGAAGAAAGGAAUUCCAAAUCUCACUAAAGGUUAAACAAAUCUCACCAAAGGUUGAAUAAAAGCAACUACCGAAGAAGAAUAAAGUUAAAACAAAAGUUCUAGGUUAAUAUCUAAACAUCAAUCAUACUCGAAUGUUAGAAUAAACUUUCUAACAACUUCAAAAUAAAGAGAAGAAGAAAGGAUGUGAUGAACAACAAAUACAACCAAGUAGAGAUAAAAUUUCUGAAAAACUUAUAAUGGAGGGGUAGAAUAAUACUUGAAUGUUAGAAUAAACUUUCUUACAACUUCUUUAUUUAGGUACCUUAGAUAAAUCUGGAAUGUUUUUUUCUGAACUCUUUCCAUUCCCAAGCUUGAAAGCCAAGACAACCUAUCUUUUUCUAGAUUCUAUUUCUUAUAUGCAAAAAGUAGAAUACACGUGAUUUUCUUUAGUUCGUGAUUUUUACACUCUCUUUAGUUCGUGUUUUAUACUAACAUCUCUUUUUUCUAAUGUACGAAUUUUGUUCUUGAUUUGAAGAUGUAGAUUCAGAGCUGUUAGGAACCUUCCUGCUGAAUUUCUUCAUCAGUUGCCAAUGAGCUACUUGAAGGUAUAUGGAGUUUUAAGAAUAUGCUACUUGAAUGCACCCAAUAGUUGUUAUAGCUUAUUAGUUGAGUUAUAUCUUAUAAGUUGAGUAUUGAUAUAUGAGAAGAAAAGUUGGAAAUGAUUAAAGUUCUUCGGUUCCUAUAUAUUUCAAGUUGCCUUUUGCAAAAGUUUUUCCUUGCAGAAUACCAUAUUAUUUGCCCCUAGCCAAGUAUUGAGAUAGUUAUAAGGCAAAAACAUUUUUUUUUCUCUGUUACAAGUAACCAUUUGCACUAAUGACUGGAAAUGUGUAUUGUUCAUUGAAUAUUGCAUCUUCAUUUCCACAUUUUCUUGUUUCUAAUGGCCAUUUGUUAUGGUUAUAUCUUUGUAUCAUGUGGACGCUUGCUACUGAGUAUGGUUUUCGAAACUUGUAUUACUCUCAACUAUUAUUGUUGGUGCUCAUACUUCAAGUGUGAUCUCAUUAGUCAUCAUUUAGAUUGGUUAGUUAUAUAGGCAUUUUUUCCCUUUUUUUGUUGUGCUAAAAAAAUGUAUACUCCACUAUACUUAAAUUCCCAUUUGCCACCUACUUUGAGUUUUAUACAUUUUUUCCAUGGACAAAUCAUAAUGUUGUGCUAAAAGAACCAUGAAAAAAUGGUUUGUAAAAUUUUGCUCACAGACCCACCUUUCAAUCCUUCAAAGAACCGUGAAAAAAUGGUUUGUGAUAUUUGAAUUUCUUUCAAUGUUAUUUCAAUUUCAUUUGCUCAAUUUAAUGAGUUGGGUCAAUUUAAUCUUAUAGGUAGAGACCAUGUUUGAGAAGUACAACUUUUACUGGGGUCUUCAUUCAAAUCCAAGUAGUUUUAACUUUAUAUUGCUUAAGGUGCUUAUAAAAAUGAAUUGAAAGUCAAAAUUGUGCUUAGUUAUUUUUCUGAACUUGUCAUCUUUCUCCACUAUUUUUCUUUCUCAAUUUUUUUCUUAUAGUUUUCAUCUAAUUUUUUACUUAAUUUUUUCUUUUUGUGCUGGCAGGUUUACUGGCUGGAUUAGUCAUUGACUCUGGUGAUGGUGUCACUCAUGUGGUAAAAAAUUUACAUACUUGUCAAGAGGAGAUUUAAAGGUAUAGUUCUAAGGGUUUUUUUUUUUCUCUCUUUUUCAUUUUAUUUCUUUUUUAGCUUUCUAAUCAAUCAAUGAGUUUUUGUUGAUGGGGUUAAUUCUCUCCAGCUUUCAGAUUAUGUCUAGAUAUUGUGUUUCUAAAAGGUGAGAUUGUUGAGCUACUUUUACCCAUUGUAGUUGUCAAUCUAGCUAGAAUAAAGGAUUUGGAUAUUGAUCUUCAAAACUAAUUUCACUUCAGGUUUUUUAUUGUUUAUUUGUCAUUAGAUUAUGGUGUUCUAUUCUUCAAUGUUGCUCUGUUUUGUAGGUUUAAUCAUGCUCUAAGGUCAGUUGCAAAUAUUAUACAAACUUCACAUAUAUGGCUCUGUUUUGUUGUUUAAUUUGCUCUUCUUUUAUAGACAAGAUAUCUUCAUUUUUUGAACUGGCCUGUCAAAUGGGGGUGGUGUCAGGAUCUCCAGUCUUUUAUAUUUGUAUUUGAGAGACAUAAAAGGUGCAUUGUUGGAUCUCAUCCCACCUCGUGGUUGACGUUGAUGAGAUAUCCAACAAUGAAUCCUUAGUAUAGAAUGAGCAUCAUAUUUAACAUCAAUCAUUCAUAUAGAAUUAGCUAUCUUAUAUCAUAAAUUGAGGGCAAAACGAUACGUUUCUUUAUUUAUUUCAUCAUAGUUGGUUUUGCAACUAAUGUAACUAUGGUCUAUCACUAAUAGUAUUUAAAUGUAGAUCCCAUAAAGGGUUUAGGGUUUAGGGUUUAGGGUUUAGGGUUUGAUUGACAACAUCUUAUUCUUUUUCUUUUUUACAUUCCUUGUGCUUGCUACAGAGUAAAAUUUUCUGUGACUGUUUGCUAUAUUCAUGUUAUACUCUCUUUAAGCGAAUUAUACUCUUGCACUAUGAUGUAUGCUUAUAUUCAUGUUGGCUUUGUAGGUUCAACUAAAACCGACAACUUCAUGAGUUUUCCUUCAAAGAAGUUUAUAUGGACCAUCAAAAUACACUGGCUAGCAUGGUUCAAGCAACAAAGAAUAUUUUCAAAGAUGAAGGCUUACCGGUUGGUUGUUUAUGCUUGUGUAGAAAAUCUUGUUAUAUGUAUUCUAAUGGUAUUUACACUAGUUUUGAUUAAGGGCUGAAAUUCCAUACUUGUAAAUUGUUCAAACUUGAUUGGAAAUGUAUGAAUAUUACAAAGUGUAUUAUAGCAUAUAUAUAUAUAUUUGUUUCUAUAUGGGUGUGAUGUAUUAUAACAUUAUUGUCAUUCAAAUGGUUCGUGUGAUGGCGAAGCGGCAAGAAGAGAACAAGGAAAAACUAUAGUAAUUAAAGAAUUUGCAAUAUGAAAAAAUGUAAUAAUAUAUGAAUUCGUGACGUUCCUUAAUUGUCGUCAAUAUUAAAACAAUGACAAUUUUUUGAUUAAAAAACUGUCACAAUCGGCCUAUCUUUGACAGGGAAAAAAUGUCGUCAAUAGCGAAACAAUGACAUUUGAUUGUAUAAAAAAAACUGUCACGAUUGGCAUAUCCUUGAGAUUUAAAAUAUGUCAUAAUAAAUGAAUUUGCGACAUUUUUUUAACUGCCGUUAAUACGCAAAUGAUGACAGUUAUUUGUUGUCAUAAUAUAGAAUAUGACAGUUAUUUGUUGUCAUAAAAUAGUAAUAAACGAAAGUUAUUUUCUGUCACGAAAAAACUUAUUGCGACAGUUUUCAAAAACUGUCAUGGAAUGACUUUUCAUGACUCCCGAUACUAUGACUGUAAAUAACUGUAAAAAAUUUUAUUCGUGAGAGAAAAUAACUGUCGUUGUAGACCAUUUUUGUUGUAGUGAACUCAUACUUAAAUGUGCUAUCUGUUUCACUUUGAUCACAUUAUGUUUCUUUAGAAAAUAAAAUAAACUAUAGGUGAUUUGUUUCUUUGAAUUGAAUCUUAAGAUUUUAGAAUAUGGUAAGACAAUUUGUUUCUUUAAAUUGAAUCUUAAGAUUUUAGAUCAUAUUAUGUUUCUUUUAAUUAAAUUGUAUUGUUUCUUCUUCCGUCGAUAUUGAAACACAUAGCUCAUACUUUAGUGUGCUCUUCAUUUAGCUUUGAUCAUAUUAUGUUUUUUUAGGAAAUAAAAUAAGUUUUGAUCUGCUUAGCUUUGUAUUUUACUGUUUGUUGAAUUCAGAGUAGUUGGAUUACGCUUUCUAUUGAUCCACCCUUUGCUUUCAAUGUAGUCAAUUUGUGGUUGUGAGCUGUACAGUACAGUUUAUAUUGGAUGACUUUCUUACUUCUUUGAUUACUAUACAAUGUGCUUGUUGUGUUUGUCCUUUUUUUCCACUCACCCUGCAUAUUCAUGAAGUUUUUCUCUAACUAAUCUUCUGUUACAUCUUGUGUUUUUGGUGGUUGCCUCCUCUACCCUUCUUAUAUGUGAAUCUGAUUGGUGGUUGCAACUAGAGAUUGACACGUAUCUCUCAAAGGAUCAAGCUACAUUUACUCUUCUUUUACAAGUAGGUUUACAUGAUAUAGCUAAACCUUCCAAAAAUUUUCAUAUCUUGGAUUGCACUUAUUUCUUACAAGUGAGUUAACUUUAACUUCAAGUCCAUUUUGUCAGAAAAAAUUCUAAGCUAAAAUACAUUGUGAAACUAAUAUCAUCCAUUAGCUGGUUUCCAUUUUUUAGAAGAAUUUAUUUUUUUGAAAAUCUUCAAAAAAUGCUCACCCUGACAUCUAAAUUGUUUUAGUUAAUAAGUUAACCAUUUGCUAACUCAAUUAUAAUGCAAGCGUUUAGAAAUAUGGUGUUUGAUGAAUUCAACACUUAAAAAGAAAGCAUUAUAGGUAUAUACAUACAUUCUUGAGUUGCUUACCUAUACUGUCACUUCAGUUUAGUUGCUUACUUACUAUGUCAAUCCAAUAUAAUCCAAAAUUUCAAAAUACAAUACUUUUUGUAUAUAAGCAAUAAAGUAUACUUUACUCUAUUUUUGGUAUAUACAACCACUUAACUAAUAUACCAAACACAAAAUAUAAAAGUUAUAAAAUUGAUAUAUCAAAGUAAUUAUCAUUUAUUAUAUAUCAUAUUUAUAAAUAUGGAAGUGUUUGUAAUGUCUCAUACCAAGGAUUUAGAAUAGUGUCCAGAAUUUUCAAAUUAGACCCUUGACACGACACAUUUUUUUGCGUUAUUUAACAUAUUUAUUCAAAUACAAUUAUUAUUUAUUUUACUUUCUCUUUCACUUGAAUUUUGUAGAGGACACACCAACUUCUUCUACUAAUACAUCGCUCUCAUAUCAUGUCACACCCUAUGUAAUUAUAAAAUAGAAGAAAAGACAUGGAAAAGACAACGUAGUAAAUACAUAACGUAUAUAUUAUAGGAUUCAUUGAUUUAUUUUAUAAUCCCAUUAUUUAUAUAUAUAUAUAUAUAUAUAUUGAUCGUAAAGGAGGGGAAGUACAUAACAUACAUAUGCAUAAAAGCAAUAGCUUUUGGUAGGGAGUUACAAGGGGAUAUCCCUUGUCAGCCAGAAGAUGGGUAAAAUACUAUGAAGAAUGUGAGCUGCUUGAAAUUCUCCCAUCUCUUCUCCCACACAACAGCCUCACAGUUUACCUCAAUAUUAUUUUCAUCCUUACACUUCAACCCCAGACGCCAAUUGGUUCCAGCCACCACUUGCGACUCGCACUUCAAUACACUAAGAAGGUACAAGUAAGGACGUUCAUGGCGGUGUUUUAUGUUGUAUUCUGUUACUGCCCAUUGUGCUACUUCUUUCGCAUGUUCACCAUCUGAAUUCUCACAUGGUCCAUAACCUCCCUUAAUUGAAUCAGAAGACAUUUUCCUACCUUACUUUCUUUCAAUACACACAAAGCUCUUAUAGAAUUUUUAAUUCGUGAUUUGUUUCGAAACAAGGGGUUUCAAAUUUAUACUACUCCAAUUUAUUCCACUCUUUUCCUUCGACUUAAUUUAUUAUUAAUUCUUUAAUUUAUGGAAUCUAAUACUCUACUUCUAAAAGGUAAUUAAGCAAGAAGGAAAAGUAGGUUUAUUAAAAUAUGAUAGUUUUGAAUUCGAAAAGCUAAACUAUAUAUACAUGCUUUUUGUGAGUUACACAAUGUAUUUAUUUAAAUAAUAAUACGUAUACUAUUUAAAAUAUAUGCUUCAAAUAAACUUUUGUUCACGUUGAAGUGAACAGUGAACAAGAUUUUAAAUUUCUGACAUAACCUUGAUGCAUUUUGCUUAAUUAACUGGGGGAUCACCUUAACCUUUUUAUUGUCUAAUAUUAAAUUUUGUACCUACCAUUGUCAUAUAUAAAUCACAUCCGGUAGGUCUUUAGAAGUUAAUUUACCUGUGUUCAGAUCACUUAUAUCAUCUAAAGCAUAGAAAUUUGGGUAUAGGUUUUCUAGUCUUUCUAAAUAAAAGUAAAGGUGUGUUUGGGAAUACAUUUUCACAUGUUUUUUAGUUCUGAAUUUUUUAUAAAAAUUUAUGAAGAAAUGGUGGAAAACCUUCUAAUCAUAUUGAAGUGUUUUGAAAACAUGCCAAAUAGCGUUUGAAGUGUAGUUCAACCAAGUAGUUAUAUUAAUUUUGUUUAAAGCAAAUUGCAUCCAAUCAAAAAAAAAAAAAACUGAAAAAAGCAGCACAUAGUACCUUUUUUCUUUUUCAUAUUGCAAACAUGACAAAUUUGACAAGUAAUUAGCGAUAUUAAGACAACUAUCGAAGGGAUAUCAAGCACUAUCAGAGAGUUAUUCGUUUUUUAAAUUUACCAUUUUUGCAAUUUAGAAAAUGCAGUAACAUUGGGUCUAUUAUUCUAAAUUAUUUUGCUAUUUUUACAAGUGUACUUUUAUUUAAAUUUUUACAAGUUUACUUUUCUUUUUAGAUGUGUUCAAAGUUUUUGUUUUAUUCGUUCGAAAAUAUUUUGUUUUGUUUAGGUCACAUGCAUGAGAUAAAAGAUAGGGAGAAGUUGGGUUUUUACAUUACUAUGUUAAAGUGAAAGAGAUACAUUCUUCAUUAUCCUAUGUGUGGAAGUAACAAAUAUUUUUUAAAAAAUUAAACUUUGAUUUGGCCCCAAUGAUUCUAAAUUAUCCUCUUUUUUUUUCUUUUAAAUUAGUUUUAGAAAAGCAUUCAAUUCAAGAGGCCAAUGUGAGAAAUUAAACACACGAAGAAGGAGUCCGUACACCGAAUAUUUCAAAUACUUUUGUAAUUCAAAAGAAUAAAAAAGGUAUUCUACGUUUCUUUUUAAUGAGAAACUUGAGAUAAUGAGAUACUCCUUAUAGUUAAUUACUAGGAUAUAUACACACACUUUUUCGGGCAUUGUUUGUAAAAUAUGAACGGAAAUAUUUACAAAAUUCUAUCACAACAGAAAUAAUAGAAGUAUUGUAUCUGUCAGUAUUUAUUAUUUACCAUUGACAUAAUCUAAAAUUAUACUAUAUUUUUCUAAAAGAAGUUUAGCAUUUUUGUUAUUUACAAGUAGUAUUUUAAAAAAUAGUAAAAUAGUAAAAGAACAUUAAUGCUUUUAUAGUCGGAAAAAGAAAGACAUCUACAUUUCUUAGAGUUGAGUAGAGUAAAUAAUCACGUUUUUAACCUUUCUAUUUUUUUUUCUUUUCUUCUUUUUUAGAAAGUUUUAUGAAGAGAAAAAAUAAAUAAGUGAAUCGGAUUCAAAUUUAUCAUUAAAAAACUAUAUUUUAAAAAUAUAAUAUUAAAUAUUUGGAGGAGAGAGAGGUAAGUGAUCCAUGUAGUGUACAGUGUAUAUAAAGAAAAGUGAAGAGUUGAGUGGAGAUCAUAGAAGUUUGUGAGAUAAGAAUUAUAUAUAUCCAAUAUAUCAUCAAAAUUAGCUUAUAAUUUGAAAGUUGAGUCUUGGAUUCGUUCCUAUUAAUACUCAUCCAGUGAAACCUGAAGUGGACAUUGGUGUUGGUUGCUGUUAAUUCCUAUUAAUUCCGAUUUUGAUUCAUCAUUGUUAGACUGUACUUAAAAUUGAGGUCGACAUUGAAGCUGUUUUAGAUGUUGUCCAUGAGGUUAAUUCAAAUGGCAAAACAUUUACCCUUAAGUUGAAGCUAAAGGUCAAGCUUUUGGAUUCUGUUGACACUAAGAUUGCUGUGGUUAAAAUCUUUUGGCCACCCAUUGGCCUUCCAACCAUUUUGUCUUUCCUGUGUGUUGAAAUAAACGAACAUGAAAAACCAUGAAAUCAUGCUAUUGUAUAAUGAAAAUGGUGCUUUCUUAUGCAUCAUUCUCAUCACUUAUAUAUUUAUCGAUAAACAUAGCAGGAUAUUUCUACUAUUGUUUUUAGUGUCGCUGUUUUUCUUUUUUCAUCUUUCUUCUGCUUCUUAAAUCUCCAACUGGGUCUAAAUAUCAUGGUUCGACACUUUUUCUCGAUAAGUAAUAAUGAAUAUUGUCUAGUAAUUUUUACCUAAAUUUAAGGGGCGUUUGGGGGAAGGGUUAGGUUAUGGAAGGAUUAGUGUUAUGAUCAUGAUACUAGCAUUAUAAAUAAGAUGUGUUUGGAAAAAGGGCUAUGUGGGUAGUGUUAUGAUAAUAUGUGUUUGGUAAAAGAGUUAUUUUGGUAGUAUUUUGAAUUAUUAUUUUGUUUUCUUUUUCUUUUUCAAAUUCAUACCGUAAAUUCAAUACAUAAAAUACAUAUUUUUUUUUUAUUUAGGAAAUUGUCCUACGUUUCCUGAAAAAAAAUCGACUUACUUUCUUUAACGAUAAUGUCCAUAUUCUACAUUAUUCAACUAGUCGUCAUGUUUCACUAAAUAAACAUUUGUCUUUUCUAUGUCACGUAACCCAUAAACAUUACAAAUUUGUGGAAAUAAAAAUUUGUGGAAAUAAGAUAUACAACGUCAAGCAUAACUUCACUACGAUGAAAAUAAAUAAAAGGUCUUCUUAAGGACACGUUCGAUGGAAGAAAAUUACAAACAUAAGAAAACUACACAUAGACAUAAAUAGAAGCAUUAAAAAAAAAAAAACAAUAACGAUCUGUAAACAAGGAAGUACAAAAACAAUCACACACCAUCUCGUAAGAUCACUCUGCAGUAGUCAAUCCUCUCGUCGUCUGACACUUCAAGAAAACUUUUCAGAUCAGCUAAAUUGUUCAUAAGUAUCCGAGUGCAAGACACCCUUUCCGACCUAUUUAGCUUAGGGAUGACAUGCAACGCUCAAAUUAAGUCCUUGCGAGCAGUACUUUCAUCCUGUAGUGCUAACCGUGGCCACUCUGCAAUUAGCCUUAGCUGGUAAGUUUAAUAGUCCUUGGCAUCCUUAAUGACAUCAUCAGUAUCCACAGGCUGGCCUCUCAUCCUUCACUUUGAGCCACUUGAACCUGUCCUACUAUCGCUUGCUCGACUAGGCCAUGCAACGUCUUCUUGCGACAUGUUGAAUCCAUGUCCGAAGAUAGAAUGAAAUUUCAUAUCAUUCAGAUUCGAAUGUGGAUACUCGUACCCACUAGGCACGUUGGAACCGACGUCUGCAAAGGUCUUUGUACGUCCUCCCAUUGCCCUGUUUUUUCGAACACAUAUGACAGCUUGUCAUAAUAGGGGAACAACUUGUUCAAGAGGCCUUUUACUGCUGGAUGAGUCUGUGUAAAUAAAAAAAAAUCAAACAUGCGUUGGUUACUCCAUCACGUUUAAUAAAAAUCAAUAACAUUUAUGUCACAUUUAAAACAUCUACAUACCAUGACCCAGUUGUUCAACAAUUUCUUUUUAGCAACUAUAUGCACUUCUCAUCAUCAUUCCAUCCGAACCCAUUGCAUUCGAGGCCCUACAAUUUGGCUAUUAUUGCUUAGAAUACUCGCUUCGACGUCUUGAUACGACAGUCGAUGACAGUAAUAGAGUGGAUAUUGUAGCCUGACAACUUCACGACCAUCAUCCGAACCAAUUGUGUCAGGUAACCUGGUCUAAACGUCCCAUUGUCUAACUUCCAUCGACCAGAUCCACCGGACACUUCACGAGGUUGGCCUCCUUCUCUUUUGGCCAUACAUGCUUUUGGGUGCAUGACGAACUUGCCAUUCUGACAAUUGAAUUAAAUUCGUUCAGUGUGAUGAAUUGGAUCUAGUUAAAGAAACAUCAAUAAAAAGUAUGCAUGAAAAGGAGGUGCAACGAAGUAAGGGGAUGAAAAUGCAUACAAACAGUCAUAGAAAAUGAACAACCAAUAAAAUCAGAGUUCACAACAAAUAGUUUAGUAUGAAAUGCUAGUGGAUACGGUUGUGUAUAAGAUGGUCUUUCAUUGCAUAAAGUAAGAAAGUCAUGACUCAUAUUAUGCCUUAAACAGAACAUGGAGCUGAAAGCAAGAGCAGCAACACACAUGAUUGGUAACAUGGAUAUGGACAAGAAACAUACAAGGACAAAUGGAACUUGAAAAAAAGAAAGCAAAAGUAACUUACCUACGAAAACAAGAAGGAAUAGAGGAGGAAGUAGGAUGUGAAAGGAGGAAAACAACAUACAAUAAAAAAGAGCAAAUGAAGAGGUAUAUGUAGAGGGGUAGAAGACCAAUAAAUUAUGCCUUUAUUGACCUCAAAACAAAACAAAAAAAUAAAAGAAGAGAAUCUUUGCAAAUGACAGAUAUAUACAUCAAAAGUGAGAAGAUAGUCAAAACUUCAAAACUACCACAUUAAGGAUAAAGAAAAGUUAUGAAUAGACAAAUGCAUAAGCAAAGGUAAAAUGAAAGGAUAUUGAACAAAUAUAUUGCAGUGUUAUGGAUGGAUGGGAGUUGAUUGCAAAUAAAGAGAAUAGAUGUCACAACAAACCAGAUACAGAAUGCAUCUUUAUUGCAAAUAAAUUGGGAACUGUAAACAAGGAAGGCUGAAAUGGAAACAAAAUAGAUAUGGCAAUAUAAGAGGCAUCGAUUGCAAAAAAAAAAAAAAAAAAAAAAAAAGAGCCCAAAAAUGCAAUACGAAGAAUGCUAAGAAGAAUAAAAAUAUUUAAAAUUGAAACAAUUAAAAAAAAAAGCAUUGUAGUUUCUAACCGAGACACCCAAAUAUGCACAUAUAUGAAAGCAAAUUGAAGUAACAAAUAAAACUGAUCAGAAAUAAAAAUUCAAACAAGUUUCAAGGCAAUCCUCAUCAUCGGCUUUGAAGAAACUCAAGUUCGAGUCGCUUACCUCCAACCUUACCUUGCUCGAACAUCCCAUAUGCACAAAAUGAUAGUAAGGAUAGUGUAGCAAGUGUCCAAAUCAGUGCGAAAAGAAGUCCGAUUGGCAAAUGGAAGUCCAAGCGACAAGGGGAAGUGGAAGAAGGAAAAUCGAGUCAGAAUUGCAUGUUCACCGAGACGAGUGGUGAACAUGCAAGCAUUUGAGUUUCAAAGACAGUCUAAACUCAACCAUUCAACAAAAUCGAAAGGGAAAACUCAUUUGUUUCGGAGGCAAUGCGGUGAGCGAAGCCUUUAACAUUUCGUUGAAAGACGAAGAGUGGAAGAGAAACAAAUAUUAUAACAAGAGGGGUUUUUUUCUCCACAAGAAAAUGAAGGCCAAAGAACAACCAAUAAAGGUUGAAGAUGAGUUGAGGGGACUAGGGGAUUUCUUUUUCUCGACCAUUAAACCUAAAAUAGAGUGGUUGAAGACAAUUCAAGAGACGACGAGAAAAGAUGAAACGGGUUGAGGAAAUGAUGAAGUGGGUGUUGAAAAGAGAUUGAAGACGAGUUGAGAAGGGAUAAAAAUGAGUUGAGAGAGAGAAUACUGUACGAAGUCGUGAAGGGUUGAAAAGGCAACAUAGUGGAUUAAAGAGUCAAAACGGAAAAAUGGAAACCAUCUAAAACUAGGGUUUCCAUAAAAUAGGCCCUCAACGUGGGUUAUGGUUAUUAUAACUAAAAUCCACAGUGAUUAUUUGGGCCCGAACACACCCUAAGAAUCUCAUUUUAACAUCGAGAUUACACUCAUAGUUCAAUAUUUAUAAUUUUGUUUGGUUAUUACAUUAUCUUUACUUUUUAGCAUUAUUUUAUUUGUUGUCUUAAAUUGAUAAAAUUUUAUUGAAAAUUUUACCAUGUUUCUAAUUUAUAGUGUUGUGUUUGGUAAGUACGGUAGAAUUACAUUAUUGUUGCUUAUCAUUCACAAGCAAUCAAGGCUAAACAAUUCUUGAUGAUAAGAAGUUGCAUCACUAAUAUACACUCGAGCAGGAAUGUCAGACAUGUGUUCGAGGUGUAUUGGUGCAUGUCGGUGUUCCAAAUGCCGAUACAUGGAAAAAAGAUUGCAGUCUGAUAAAUUUUAUCAACAAAGAUCACCGACUUUGACCAUGAACUUAAGCUUAAAGAGAGUAUGUUUUUGCUAUUGGACCCAGCCUCAACGCUACCACUGAUUAAACGACAAACACCAUAAAGCUCGCUUCAAACCUCUCUUUCUAUUAUGCUCAGCCACUGCCCAACUAGGCUAGCUCAAGGACAAAUAUGUCCGAUAAUCCAUCCACCCGAUUCAGUUUCACACUCAUCUUUAAUUAAUAAGUGAGAAAAUCGUUUAAGCGUACCGAAACUACUCCUCUCACAAACUUUGAUCUCCACACACAUCUUUUUCUACAACCACUUUCCACCUUUAUAAAUAUACCACUAACUUUUGUUGAAGAUGUUGAAAAUUCCCCGUUGAAAAAACAAAAGAAACUCAAAUUUCUUGUAAAAUAAAAGAGUUAUUCCUUUCCUUACCGAUUGAUUUUAAGAUUUUGUGUACACUAAUUUUAUCUACGUUGGCAUGCAUGCAUUGCCCAUCAACAAAAUCAAAACUCAGUGACAGUCCAAGAUCAUCGGUAAAAAGUAUAGACACCCAAAAUCUUUAUCCACCAUUUAUGCUCGCAUCACAAAACACACAUUUAGAAAUAUAUAUAUAUAAUCUAAAGGAAUAUAUAUAUUUAGUUAUGAAUAAUCUUUGGUAGAUUGUGAAAAUUAUGAUCUAGGAUGCAUCUGUCUACAUACCACCAAUCUCUCUACUAUAAGAAAACAAAAUGUUUUUUUUUAAAUAACAUUUAAUUUUAAAUUCAUGGAGUGGAGAGAUAGAAAGACACAAAGAUGGAUGCAUCAUGGAUGCACCAAAAUUUUCUUCCCUAUAUAUAUAGGAGCAUUUUUUAAAAUAGCAAAAUAUAUGUAAAUACUCACAAGUUAUAGCAAAUUCAGAGUUCUGUUAAAGGUAGAAACUGAUAGACUUCUACAGACAAUGUCACCGAUAAAAGUUUAUCAAUGUCUAUUAUUGAUAGAAUCUAAAUUUUUUGUAAUAUAUUGUCAAUAUUUUGUCAAAUUUGCUAUCCUGAACGAAUUAGUUGGAGGUCAUUUGAGCUAACUCAACACGUUCACUCCCAUUCUAGCUAUCUAAUUAUUGCUUGCAAGGUGACUGCAUCAUCAUUCCUAAAACACGACAAUGGAACUGUCUAUGAAUGUAUUUGUGCUUAUUGAAAACUCUAAAACGGAGAUGUUUAUGUAUUACAUAUAAAGUAUUUACAAAAUAUUGCAAAAUUUUAGAUUUCAUCAAUGUAUUUUGAUAGAAGAGAGUGUUGUGAUCUUGGGAGGAGUAGUCCAAAUAAUAAUAAUGAAACCAAAAAAUCAUUUGCUUUAGAUAAAAUUUAAAUAAAUUUUUUAUUGUUCUCCUAACAUUAAAAUUUUUAGAUAUUUUGGUUUGUUUGAACACAGCUUUGUCAUUUAAAAUAAUUACCAUAAAAUUUAGGAUUACUUCCAAAAUAUAGUAAAAUAUUAGAACCUAUCUACUAUGCAUAUUUAUAUAUGUCAUUAUAUAAACAAAUAAUAGUCUAAUUUCACCUAUGUCAAAUGGAUAGUGAUAUUUUCUUAUAUUGCUAGAUGUUUUUAACAAUUUUAUCAUUUAAAUUUUUAGGUAUAGCAAUAUUUUUUCAAAAUUUCCAAAUGUAGAGAUAAAACAAAAUCCAAUAUAAUGAAGCAGAUUCCCAUUCUUUAUUAUUCCAAAUCAAUCCUGAUUUUGGUGCAUCACACAAUAUGUAUUUUGGGCAAUAUGUUUGAUAUACUGUACUUUAUUUUUGGUCUAUACGAUCACUUAACUAAUAUAUCAAACAUAAAAUAUAAAAGUUAUACGAUCACUUAACGAAAAUUCAGCUUUUUAUCAUAAAAUCUACUCUGUUGGGCAAAGGAGAAGCUUCAUAUCAAGCAUUUACACUGCUCAAGAUGCUCUGUGUACAACUGAUAGGGACAUUGAGAAAACCUUCAUCGAUCAUUUUGGGGAAAUCUAUACGGAAAAGAAAAGAGAUCUUUGGUUCAUUGACAACGCCCCCUGGACUCUUAUAAAAGAGACAGACCAUGAUGACCUGUGCAAAAUUUUUUCUGCAAAAGAGAUAUACAAUGCUCUAAAAAACUUCCCCAAAAAUAAAUCUUCGGGACCAGGUGGCUUUACUAUGGAGUUUCUCAAGGACACUUGGAAUUUCACAAAAGAAAAUAUAUUGGAAAUCUUCAAUGACUUCCAUAAAAAUUGCAUCAUCAACAGUAUUGUGAAUUCUACCUUUAUUGCUCUCAUUGCAAAAAAGGAUACAUGCACAGCCCCUUCGGAUUAUAGGCCCAUAAGCCUUACAACUGGUAUGUACAAGCUUAUUGCUAAAGUUAUCGCUGAAAGACUAAAACAAGUUCUGCCUAAUAUAAUCUCAGAGAACCAAUUAGCUUUCGUUAGAGGGAGGCAGAUUACGGAUGCCAUUUUGAUUGCAAAUGAAGCUGUGGAUUUCUAGAAGCAAAAAAAAAAUAAUAAUAAAAGGAUAUGUGCUCAAGCAUGUAUCGAAAAGGCUUUUGAUAAAAUCAACUGGGCUUUCAUCGAUUUUAUGCUGCAUAAAAAAGGCUUUCCACAAAAAUGGCGUAAAUGGAUUGAAGCUUGUAUUACUAGUGUUCAAUACUCCAUCCUUAUCAACGGAAGACCCAGAGGUAAAAUUAAACCCACAAGAGGCAUCCGGCAAGGUGAUCCGAUCUCUCCAUUCAUUUUUGUUCUCGUGAUGGAUUAUCUCAGCAUACUUCUUAAUCACUUGGAGAAACAAAACUUGAUAAAAGAGAGUUAGUUUCAAUGGGAAACAUAACCUUACUCAUCUCCUCUUUGCUGAUGAUAUCCUUCUUUUUAUGGAGGACGAUGAAGAAACCAUAAAUAAUAUGAGGAAUGCCCUUCGGCUUUUUGAAUUGGCCUCAGGUCUCAACAUCAACCUCAACAAAUCCACGAUCUCUCCUAUCAACAUUGAUACACAGAGAACAAAUUAUGUGACGGGCUAAAUGGGGCUUCUUAGUUAAUUUCCUACCCUAUUCAAUAUUUGGGAACCGAACUCUAGACAUUUUUGGUCUGAAACAACGAAAAAACUCCAGAAGAAAAUCAACAACUGGAAAUAUGCUUCUCUUUCCAGAGGUAGCAAGAUAACUCUUAUUAAAGCUACAUUAGCUAGCAUUCCUAAUUAUCACAUUUCGGUUUUCAAGCCCCCAAAUCUGUCUACAAAGAUAUUGAAACAAUAUGGAGAAAUUUCCUCUGGAGAGACACCUUUGAUAAGAAAAACACCAACCUCAUCAAAUGGUCAACGGUGCUGUCUCCUAUCAACAAAGGUGGCCUGGGCAUUAACAGCGUUCAAAGUACAAAUUUUGCUCUACUAAGCAAGUGGAUCUGGAGAUUUUAUGGAGAAAAUAAUCCUCUGUGGAAACGCAUAAUCACUGCUAAAUAUGAACAAUCGAUCAUAUUUGGGUGAACUUCCAACCAAAAGCAAAUAUAGCAGCUCCAAAGCACCCUGGAUGUCUAUCAUUAAAGGAGUUGACUGGGUCCUUCCUCAAAUCAAAUGGUCCAUUAAAAGGGGAGACUCCCUCUUGUUCUGGCACAGCCGAUGGCAUGAACUUAGUCCAUUCACACAGACCAACCCAAGAUUAUUUGCUCUUUCUACCAAGAAAGGAGAUUCCAUUGCAAACAUGUGGAAUGCAGAAAAAGCCGACUGGGACCUCUACCCUCGAAGACCGUUAAGAAGUGUCGAGGAAGUUCUUUGGGAAGAUAUGAAAGUCUCCCUCCCUCCCUUGCCUGAUUCAGGAUUUGACAAUCCUCGUUGGACUUUAAACAACAAUGGCAGCUUCACUGUGGCUUCCAUCAAACUUGCAAGACCUCUAAACAACCAAGACGAGACCAACGAAGAUGAUGGGGAGAUCUAUAACAACUUAUGGAAAUCUACCAUCCCCAAAAGAUGCAAAUUCUUCGUAUGGACUCUCCUACAUGAGUGUAUCAAUACAAUGGAUAUGCUACAGAGAAGGCUCCCAACGUGGAAUUUAAAGCCCUCUUGGUGCAUCCUAUGCAAAGCUGCUGAGGAAGACAGACAACAUUUUUUCACCCACUGCCCCUUCUCAACAAAUCUCUUGAAGAAAGUUGAAGUUAUACUGGGCAAAUCCCUGCUCUUUCCAAAUUCCACUACCUUAUGCAAAGAUCUCUUCAAAACAAAAGGUAAAACGAAAAAGCAAACUAUCAAACAAUACCUGGUGGCUGCUACUCUUUGGAACAUUUGGAAUGAAAGAAACAGAAUGAUUUUUAGGGGGGAAGAAAAAAAAGUUGAUUCUGUAUGAGAAGACAUACAAGCCAUAACGGGUUUUUGGACAAGCCGAUCUUCUCUCUUCAAAAAUUACUCGCCUAGCUCUAUUGCAUUAAACUUAGAUGCUUUUUAGCGUUUCAAGUUUCUUGGGCUUCCCUCUAGCCCUCUAUUAUCUCCUGCUUCUUGUAUUUACCUUUGAUAUUUUAAUGAAGCAGGAUUGAAGGGGCUGCUUUGGAACGUCUUCCUUGUGAAGAUUUCCCUUUGCAUCAUCUUUCAUAAUGUAUCUUUAUAAAUAAAAAAAUAAUUAUCAUUUAUUAUAUAUCAUUAUUACUAGGAAAGUGUUUGUAAUGUUUCAAGCCUAGGAUUUAGACUAGUAUCCAAAAUUCUCAAUUUGAACACUUGACACUUUCGACACAUUCGUUAUUUAACAUAUUUAUUCAAAUACUAUCAUUAUUUGGCUUUAUUUUCACUUUUCUCUUUUAAGUUGAAUUUUGUGGAGGACACACCAACUUCUUCUACUAAUACAUCACUCUCAUAUCAUGUCACACCAUAUGUAAUUAUAAAAUAGAAGAAAACACAACAUAGUAAAUACAUAACGUAUAUAUAUUAUAGGAUUAAUUGAUUUAUUUUAUAAUACCAUUAUUUAUAGGUAUAUAUAUAUAUAUAUAUUGAUCGUAAAGGAGGGGAAGUACAUAACAUACAUAUGCAUAAAAGCAAUAGCUUUAGGUAGGGAGUUACAAGGGGAUAUCCCUUGUCAACCAGAAGAUGGGUAGAAUACUAUGAAGGAUGUGAGCUCCUUGAAAUUCUCCCAUUCCUUCUCCCACACAACAGCCUCACAGUUUACCUCAAUAUUAUUUUCAUCCUUACACUUCAACUCCAGACGCCAAUUGGUUCCACCCACCACUUGCGACUCGCACUUCAAUACACUAAGAAGGUACAAGUAAGGACGUUCAUGGCGGUGUUUUAGGUUGUAUUCUGUUACUGCCCAUUGUGCUACUUCUUUCGCAUGUGGACCAUCUGAAUUCUCACAUGGUCGAUAAUCUCCAACAAUUACAUGAGAAGACAUUUUUCUACCUUACUUUCUUUCAAUACACACAAAGCUCUUAUGGAAUUUUUAAUUCGUGAUUUGUUUCGAAACAAGGGGGUUUCAAAUUUAUACUACUCCAAUUUAUUCCACUCUUUUCCUUCGACUUAAUUUAUUAUUAAUUCUUUAAUUUGUGGAAUCUAAUACUCUACUUCUAAAAGGUAAUUAAGUAAGAAGGAAAAGUAGGUUUAUUAAAAUAUGAGAAUUUUGAAUUCCAAAAGCUAAACUAUAUAUACAUGCUUUUUGUGAGUUACACAACGUAUUUAUUUAAAUAAUAAUUCAUAUAAUAUUUAAAAUAUAUGCUUCAAAAAUAAACUUCUGUUCAUGUAUAAGUGAACAGUGAACAUAUAUAUUUCAAGAUUUUAAAUUUCUGACAUGCAUGACCUCGCAUUUUGCUUAAUUAACAGGAGGAUCACCUUAACCUUUUUAAGGUCUAGUAUUAAAAUUUGUACUUACCAUUGUCAUAUAUAAAUCACAUUUAGUAGGUCUUUAGAAGUUAAUUUACCUGUGUUUAGAUCACUUAUAUCAUCUAAAGCAUAGAAAUUUGAGUAUAGGUUUUCUAGUCUUUCUAAAUAAAAGUAAAGGUGUGUUUGGGAAUACAUUUUCAAGUGUUUUUUAGUUCUUAAUUUUUUAUAAAAAAUUAUGAAGAAAUGGUGGAAAACCUUCUAAUCGUAUUGAAAUGUUUCGAAAACAUGCCAAAUAGCGUUUGAAAUGUAGUUCAACCAAGUAGUUAUAUUAAUUUUGUUUAUAGGAAAUUGCAUCCAAUAAAAAAAAAUAAAAAAAAGUAGAACAUAGUACCUUUUUUUUUUUUCAUAUUGCAAAUAUGACAAAUAUGACCAGUAAUUAACGAUAUUAAGACAACUAUCGAAGGGAUAUGAAGCACUAUCAAAGAGUUAUUCGUUUUUUAAAUUUACCAUUUUUGCAAUUUAGAAAAUGUAGUAACAUGAGCUCUAUUAUCCUAAAUUAUUUUGCUAUUUUUGCAAGUGUACUUUUAUUGAAAUUGUUCAAAAGUUUACUUUUCUUUUUAGAUGUGUUCAAAGCUUUUGUUUUAUUAGUUUGAAAAUAGUUGUUUUGUUUAGGUCACAUGCAUGAGAUAAAAGAUAGGGAGAAGUUGGGAUUUUACAUUACUAUGGUAAAGUGAAAGAGAUACAUUCUUCAUUAUCCUAUGUGUGGAAGUAACAAAUAUUUUUUAAAAAAUUAAACUUUGAUUUGGCCCCAAUGAUUCUAAAUUAUCCUCUUUUUUUUUUCUUUUAAAUUAGUUUUAGAAAAGCAUUCAAUUCAAGAGGCCAAUGUGAGAAAUUAAACACACGAAGAAGAAGGAGUCCGUACACCGAAUAUUUCAAAUACUUUUGUAAUUCAAAAGAAUAAAAAAGGUAUUCUACGUUUCUUUUUAAUGAGAAAUUGUGAAUUAAAAAAAAAAGGUGCAAACUUCUUUCUCUAGACAAUUCUUCACAACAACUGCCUGAUGACGAUGAGAAAAAUACCAAAUUACAUAUCCAUGCUUGUAGUUGUUUCCGUGUCUUAUUUAGCCGUUGUUCGAAAACUAUCGAAAUUCAAGUCUCGUCUAGUGACUAUUUUGUUUGAUCUUUUAUUUUCUUUAAAAAAAAUAAUUAAGUAUAUUUUCUCUCGUAGUAAUUUUACUUAAACAUUUUUUUAAAAUGUUCAUCUCUAAAGAAAAAUAAAUCUAUGUGCUAAUAGUGAUUUUAGCUUAGCAUUCAUUUACUACUGAAGUGUUGUUUUCCCAUGAGAUGAAAAUUUGAGUUCCAAAAAUUCCCUCAUAUCUAAAACUAUUUUUUCUUAGAUUUUAAAUUUGAUGAGUAAAAAUAUAAAUAUCCAAACCAGUUGUUGGAUGGUGAAAGAGGUGUUAUAAGUUUAAUUUUAAAAAGAUAAAAAUGAAAAACGAAAUUGUCAACCAUCAAAAUCUAAAUUAAAAUAGUGCAUAUACUUAAUUUCUAGGAUAUACACACUUUGUUGUGCAUGGUGAAUUAUUAUAAAAAAUGAACCGAAGUAUUUACAAGAUUGUAUGACAAUAAAAAUUGAUAGAAGUCUAUCGUAUAUGUGAGUACUUAUCAUGGAAAAAAUCUAAAAUUUUACUGUACUUUUUUAUUUUUUUUAGCAUUUUUGUUAUUUACAUUUUUGUUAGGACUUAUCAAAUACAAACCAUUGAAACUAUUUACAAAAUAUAAUAAAUAUAUAGGAAAAAAAACUUAAAAGAAAUGACUAAUAGUUUGAUGAAGUUUGUUAUAUUUUGUAAAUAGUUUUAUAGUCAUUUUUAUUUUUAAUAUUUUACUCUUGAAAAACCAGUAAUGUUUUAUCACCCAAAAGAAAGACAUCAACAUUUUUUUUAGAGUUGAGUAGAGUAAAUAACACGUGUUUAAACUUUCUAUUUUCUUUUCUUUUUUCACUUUGGAGAAAUUCUUAUGAAUAUAAAAAUUAAAUAAGUGAAUCAGAUCCAAAUUUAUCUAUUAAAAUAAGGGAAAUUUAUAUAGAAGAAAAUUGAAAUUAUCUACAUCCUAUGGCAAGAAAAAAAUUGGAGGAAAUAUAUUAAUUUUCUUUUAUUCCAAAAAUACCCUCGACGUUUUACUCAAUUAUUCGUCUUCCUUUUUUUUUUUUUUUAUCGAUGAGUCAUUCUUUCAUUUUAUUCAUCUAAUGUUUUUAUUCUGAUCUUUGUUUGUUUUUUCAAAUCAUGUUUAUCUCAUUGCUACAAAAUUGACAAUAUUUGACGCUUGCAAUUUUGAUAUUCUUGACAAUGUUAAUAAAAACUGUCAAGUAAAAAAAAAAAAACGUAAAAAAUAAUCAAUAGUAAAAAAAUGUAUAAAUAUUUAUCUUUUAUUUUAAAUACUUUGAGUUAACUUUAACUUCAAAUCCAUUUUGUUAGAAAAAGUCCUGAGCUAAAAUACAUUGUGAAACCAAUAUCAUCCAUUAGCUAGUUUCCAUUUUUUAGAAGGAUUUAUUUUUUUGAAAAUCUUCAAAAAAUGCUCACCAACAUCUAAAUUGUUUUAGUUAAUAAGUUAACCAUUUGCUAACUCUAUUAUAAUGCAAGCGUUUAAAAAUACCGUGUUUGGUGAAUUCAACACUUAAAAAGAAAGCAUUAUAGGUAUAUACAUACAUUCGUUUGUUGCUUACCUAUACUGCCACUUCAGUUUAGUUGCUUUGUCAAUCCAAUAUAGUCCAAAAUUUCAAAAUACAAUACUUAUUGUAUAUCAGUCAUAAAAUGUACUUUAUUUUUGGUAUAUACGAUCACUUAACUAAUAUACCAAACAUAAAAUAUAAAAGUUAUAAAAUUGAUAUAUCAAAAUAAUUAUCAUUUAUUAUAUAUCAUAUCUAUCCGCAGUGUUUGUAAUGUCCCAAGCAUAGAAUUUAGACUAGUAUCCAAAAUUCUUAGAUUGGACACUUGACACUUUCGACACAUUUUUCUGCGUUAUUUAACAUAUUUAUUCAAAUACUAUCAUUAUUUAGCUUUAUUAUACUUUUCUUUUUGUAGAGGACACACCAAAACUUCUUCGACUAAUAUCUCGCUCUCUUAUCAUAUCACACCAUUUUUGGAGUAAGUACAUAACUUAUAUAUUUUUGGAGUAAUUGAUUUAUUUUAUAAUCUCCUUAUUUAUAGAUCUAUAUAUGAGGGGAAGUACAUAACAUAGUAUAUACUUAUGCAUAAAAGCAAUAAGUUUAGGUAGGGAGUAAGUUUAUUCAUGAGAAAGGACAGGUAUGAUUCGUACGAAGGAUGUGAGCUGCCUGAAAUUUUCCCAUACCUUCUCCCACACAACGGCCUGAUAGAUUUCCACACAAUUAUUUUCAUCCUUACACUCCAACAGCAGACGCCAAUUGGUUCCAGCCACCACUUGCGACUCGCACUUCAAUACUCUAACAAGGUACAAGUAAUGACCUUCAGGGCGGUGUUUUAUGUUGUAUUCUGUUACUGCCCAUUGUGCUACAUCUUUCGCAUGUUCACCAUCUGAAUUCUCACAUGGUCGAUAAUCUCCAACAAUUGGUUCAGGAGACAUUUUUCUACCUUUCUUUCAAUCCACACAAAGCUCUUAUGGAAUUUUUAAUUCGUGAUUUGUUUCGAAACAAGGGGGUUUCAAAUUUAUACUACUCCAAUUUAUUCUACUCUUUUCCUUCGACUUAAUUUAUUAUUAAUUCUUUAAUUUGUGGAAUCUAAUACUCUACUUCUAAAAGGUAAUUAAGUAAGAAGGAAAAGUAGUUUAUUAAAAUAUGAGAAUUUUGAAUUCCAAAAGCUAAACUAUAUAUACAUGCUUUUUUUGAGUUACAUAACGUAUUUAUUUAAAUAAUAAUAUGUAUAAUAUUUAAAAUAUAUGCUUCAAAUAAACUUGUGUUCAUGUGAACAGUGAACAUAUAUAUUUCAAGAUUUUAAAUUUCUGACAUGACCUUGAUGCAUUCUUGCUUAAUUAACAGGAUGAUCGCCUUAACCUUUUUAUUGUCUAAUAUUAAAAUUUGUACCUACCAUUGUCAAAUAGCGUUUGAAGUGUAGUUCAACCAAGUAGUUAUAUUAAUUUUGUUUAAAGGAAAUUGCAUCCAAUCAAGAAAAAAAAAUCGAAAAAACCAGCACAUAGUACCUUUUUUUUUCAUAUUGCAAAUAUGACAAAUAUGACAAGUAAUUAACGAUAUUAAGACAACUAUCGAAGGGAUAUUAAGCACUAUCAGAGGGUUAUUCGUUUUUUAAAUUUACCAUUUUUGUAAUUUAGAAAAUGUAGUAACAUGAGCUCUAUUAUCCUCAAUUAUUUUGCUAUUUUUGCAAGUGUACUUUUAUUUAAAUUGUUCAAAAGUUUACUUUUCUUUUUAGAUGUGUUCAAAGUUUUUGUUUUAUUCGUUUGAAAAUAGUUGUUUUGUUUAGAUCACAUGCAUGAAAUAAAAGAUAGGGAGAAGUUGGGUUUUUACAUUACUAUGUUAAAGUGAAAGAGAUACAUUCUUCAUUAUCCUAUGUGUGGAACUAACAAUUUUUUCUAAAAAAUUAAACAUUGAUUUUGCCCCAAUGAUUCUAAAUUAUCCUUUUUUUUCUUCUUUUAAAUUAGUUUUAGAAAAGCAUUCAAUUCAAGAGGGCCAAUGUGAGAAAUUAAACACACGAAGAAGGAGUCCGAAUAUUUCAAAUACUUUUGUAAUUCAAAAGAAUAAAAAAGGUAUUCUACGUUUCAUUUUAAUGAGAAACUUAAGAUAAUGAGAUGCUCCUUAUAGUUAAUUACUAGGAUAUAUAUACACACUUUGUCCGACAUUGUUGGUAAAAUAUGAACAGAAAAAUUUACAAAAUUCUAUCACAACAUAAAUAAUAGAAGCCUACCGUAUCUGUCAGUAUUUAUUGUUUACUAUUGACAUAAUCUAAAAUUUUACUAUAUUUUGCUAAAAGAAGUUUAGCAUUUUUGUUAAUUACAAGUAGUAUUUUAGAAAAUAGUAAGAAUAUGCACUAGUAGAAAAGUGGUCUAUGACGACAGUUAUUUACUGUCGUAAACGAAAUUCGCGACAAUUAUUUUCAGUCAUAGAAGCGGGAGUCAUGGAAAGUCCUUCGAUGACAGUUUUUGACAGUUUUUAAAAACUGUUACAAUAAGUUUUUAUGAUAUGAAAUAAAUGUCGUUAAUCAGAAUUCAACGACGUCAAAUAACUGUCAUAUUUUAUUUUAUGACAACAAAUAACUAUCAUCAUUUGUGUAUUAACGACGGUUAAAUAAAUGUCGCGAAUUCAUUUAUUGUGACAUUUUUUAAUUGUCAUGAAUAUGUUAAUCGCGACAAUUUUUUUUGUAUAAAAAUGUUAUUGUUUUGCUAUUGACGACAUUUUUUUCCUGUCACAUAUAGGGCAAUCGUGAUGAUUUAUUUUAUUAAACAACUGUCAUCGUUUUCGGAUUGACAACAAUUAAUAACUGUCACAAAUUCAUUUAUUACUUCAUUUAUUUUCUGUUGCAAAUUUCUAAAUUUACUACAGUUUUUUUCCUGUUCUCCUUGUCGCUCCACCAUUACAUGAACCAUUUGAAUGAUAAUAAUGUAACUGAGAAUGAAAAUUUUGAAUUUAUAAUAUUGACACCCAUAUAGAAAAAUGUAGUCAACACUUUAAUUUUAAUAUAUAUGAUAUAAUACAAUUUAUAAUAUCCGUACAUUUCCAAUCAAGUGUCAACAAUUUACAAGUACGGAAUCUCAACCCUUAAUCAAAAAAUAUUUUAAAUAGCAUUAGAAUACAUCUAACAAGAUUUUAUGCAGAAGCAUAAACGACCAACCGAGAAUGUUCGUCUCUGAAAAUGUUCUUUGAAAGAAAACUCAUGAAGUUGUCGACUCCGGUUGAACCUACAAAGACAACAUGAAUAUAAGCAUCCAUAACACAUACAUUUGUGAACCAACAUUACCACAACAAAGAAGAAAAUGGAGGACUACCAUGUAGUAAUGUGAAUGUAAAAGAAACAUUAUAUAUAUUAUGAAUCUUGUUUCUAAUCAAGAACUUAUUUCCUAACCAUGUACUUGAUGAGCGUUUGUAGAAUUUAAUAUCAGCAACCAAAAUCUAUAAACUAAUUCAAGAUAGAGCGAGCUUAUGUUGUAAAAGAACACCUUAGAAUAAAUAUAAUAGAGGAACGCAUGAAUUUCAGCACACAUGACAAAGUAAACUUUUUGAAGGUAGGAAUCCUAUAUAAAAUUCCCUAAACCCUGGAGUCGUCUCCCAAUUUCUCUUUUAAGUUUCCGAAGCCAAAACAAUGCAGUUUAAAAUAUUUGAAGAGAAUUAUUGGUGACGUAAACGAAUAAAUAUAAGUGAUAUAAGCAUUUUUAGGGAUAUAAGCAUUUAAGAAUACCCCAUCUCCAUUUUUUAUGAAGUUAAUCUUGCCACAACAACUGCAGCAGCCUCUUGAUCAAACCCUUGCACCAAUUCCUGAAAUCAAUGCCUCAAAUAUUUAGGUUUUCUCCAACAUCGAGAUAGAGAAAGAGAACCAAACAGAGAGAAUUCAUCUGUUUGUAUUGACUUCUCAUUAUUCAUGGAGACAAAAAGAGACAAAUACAGAGAGUUCAAGUGUGUGUAUGUGUGCAUAAAGCACUAGAUAGGGUUGAGGUUUAGGGCACAUCAAACCAAUAUAUAUACAACCACUCCUGAAUAUUUUUCAUGAAUAGAAAUGAUGGUGUUCAUUUGUACAUGCAAAGUGCAAAAUGUCAAUUGCAAAAUGUCAACCAUGAAAUAUAUAAUCCUGUUCUCACAAGUAAUUCCCACAAACUAAUUUUUCCUAGUUACUUGGGUUGAGGUUUCUUCAGACAUGUACACGAUGGAAGAAGUGAGAUGAGAUCGAAGCUUCAAGUAUAAGAAUGCAAAGCACUCUCUCACCCCUGUUUCUUGCAAUAAAACUCUCAAAAUUAAAUAUAGUAACAAACAUUAGCUAUUCUUUAGUUAACUCAACUGGCAUAGUAGGUAGUUUUUCUUGGAGUGUAUAAAUAUUUGAAAUGCAAUGAAACGAGGAAUCCACAAUGAAAAAACAGACAAAAGAUAUUUCAAGAUAUUUUGGGUUUUCAAUCUAGAGAAGCUCUUUACCUAAACAGAAUAUAACAGGUAAAUGACGUUAUAAAAGACAUAUCAAAACUCACUAAAUUAAGUUGUAAAACAACAUCCGAUACCAAAUGGCUUAUAUAUAUUCCAGUAACAAAAACCUUGGGAGAAAUAAAAGAGAUUAUUCUACAUAUUCAUAAAACAUUUAACAUGGUUUCAAUAUUUCCUUCAUCAUCGAGCAAGGAGGUAGGCGAGUUGUGUCGAGCCCGACAAGUUGCAAUGUGUGGAUAAAGGAAAACCGAAAGUCCUUUGAAUAUGUGUAGAAGACUUACGAUGAGCACGGUGAGUUGGGCGAGGAGUGCGCGAGUGGUGGAGUCUCAGCCGUCGACGAUGGAGUGGAGCUUGGGGCGGUGGAUAGUUAGGGAUUUUUGAAAAAAAAAACUUGGAGAAGGGGGAAGAAAAAUAGGAAUUUUCAUGAAAUUGGUAGAGAGAAAGGAGGAAGAAAAUAGGGAUUUUUGUGGUGGGCGGUCGUGGCUUUCGUGGAUGAGAAAUUUUGGGGGAGAAAGUUUGAAGUUAGGAGAAGAAUUGGUGGAUGCAGAAAAUAUGAGUAAAAAUUUGGGGAAGAUAAUUAGGGCUUUUUAGAAAUUGGGGGAAAAGGAAAUCUUGGGAAAAAAAGGAAAAAGUUUUUUUUUUUUUACAAAAUUGGAGAAAAAUGGAAAAUUUGAGAAAAAAUUGAAAAAAAAUUGUUUGUAUUACUCGACAUUUUUUAAAUGUCAAGUAAAUAAAAUUAGUUUUGACGUUUUUAAUCAGUCAAGUAUUUAAAAUAAAAAAUAAAAAAUAAAUAUUUAUGCAUUUUUUUCCUAUUGGUUAUUCUUGACGUUUUUUUUCUACUUGACAACUUUUAAUAAAACUGUCAAGAAUAUCAAGACUGUAAGCGUCAAAUAUUGUCAGAUUUGUAGCAAUGAGAUGGACACUAUUUGAAAAAACAAACAAAGAUCAGAAUAAAAACAAUGGAUGAAUAAAUCUAAAGAAUGACUCACCGAUAAAAAAAAAAAAAAGAUGGAAGGCGAAUAUUUGAGUAAAAAGUUAGGUGUAUUUUUGAAAUAAAAGAAAAUUAAUAUAUUUCCUCAAAUUUAUAAAAGAUAGUUUCAAUUUUCUCAUAUAUACGUAAAUUUUCCUUAUUUUAAUGGAUAAAUUUGGAUCCGAUUCACUAGUUUAUUCUAUAUCCAUAAGAAUUUCUCAAAAAUGAAAAAAGAAAAGAAAAAAGAAAGGUUAAAAACGUUGUUAUUUACUCUACUCAACUCUAAAAAAAUGUUGACAUCUUUCUUUUCGGGGAUAAAAACAUUAAUGGUUUUUCAAGAGUAAAAUAUUAAAAAUAAAUAAUUUAUCAAACCAGUUGUAAAUAAAAUAUAAAACUAUUUACAAAAUAUAACAAAAUUCAUCAAUGUAUCAGCCGUUUUUUAAGUCUUUUUUUUAUAUAUUUGCUAUAUUUUGUAAAUAGUUUCAAUGGUUUGUUAUUUUUUAAAAUACCUCGAUUUUAUUAAUAGACCAAUAUUGGAUUAGUCUAUUACAUUUUAGAAAAGUCAUGUAAAUAACAAAAAUGCUUUUCUUCAUGUGUUUCUUGUUCUUUCUUUAAACCUCAAAUCCAUACUUUUACUAACAUAUAUACUCAAAUUGGCCUCUUCAAUAACAUAUAUACUCAAAUUGGCCUCUUGAAUUGCAUGCUUUUCUAAAACUAAUUUAAAAGACAAAAAAGGAUAAUUUAGAAUCAUUGGGGCAAAAUCAAUGUUUAAUUUUUCUUAAAAAAAUUGUUAGUUCCACACAUAGGAUAAUGAAGAAUGUAUCUCUUUCACUUUAACAUAGUAAUGCAAAAUCCCAACUUCUCCCUAUCUUUUAUUUCAUGCAUGUGAUCUAAACAAAACAACUAUUUUCAAACGAAUAAAACAAAAAUUUGAACACAUCUUAAAAGAAAAGUAAACUUUUGAACAAUUUAAAUAAAAGUACACUUGCAAAAAUAGCAAAAUAAUUUAGGAUAAUAGAGCUCAUGUUACUACAUUUUCUAAAUUACAAAAAUGGUAAAUUUAAAAACGAAUAACUCUUUGAUAGUGCUCCAUAUCCCUUCGAUAGUUGUCUUAAUAUCGUUAAUUACUUGUCAUAUUUGUCAUAUUUGCAAUAUGAAAAAAAAAUGUACUAUGUUCUGCUUUUUUCGAUUUUUUUUUUAUUGGAUGCAAUUUCCUUUAAACAAAAUUAAUAUAACUACUUGGUUGAACUACAUUUCAAACGCUAUUUGGCAUGUUUUCGAAACACUUCAAUAUGAUUAGAAGGUUUUCCACCAUUUCUUCAUAAUUUUUUAUAAAAAAUUAAGAACUAAAAAACACUUGAAAAUGUAUUCCCAAACACACCUUUACUUUUAUUUAGAAAGACUAGAAAACCUAUACUCAAAUUUCUAUGCUUUAGAUGAUAUAAGUGAUCUAAACACAGGUAAAUUCACUUCUAAAGACCUACUAAAUGUGAUUUAUAUAUGACAAUGGUAGGUACAAAUUUUAAUACUAGACAAUAAAAAUGUUAAGGUGAUCCUCCUGUUAAUUAAGCAAAAUGCAUCAAGGUCAUGUCAGAAGUUUAAAAUCUUGAAAUAUAUAUGUUCACUGUUCACUUAUACAUGAACAUAAGUUUAUUUGAAGCAUAUAUUUUAAAUAUAAUACAUAUUAUUAUUUAAAUAAAUACGUUGUGUAACUCACAAAAAGCAUGUAUAUAUAGUUUAGCUUUUGGAAUUCAAAAUUCUCAUAUUUUAAUAAACUACUUUUCCUUCUUACUUAAUUACCUUUUAGAAGUAGAGUAUUAGAUUCCACAAAUUAAAGAAUUAAUAAUAAAUUAAGUCGAAGGAAAAGAGUGGAAUAAAUUGGAGUAGUAUAAAUUUGAAACACCCUUGUUUCGAAACAAAUCACGAAUUAAAAAUUCCAUAAGAGCUUUGUGUGGAUUGAAAGAAAGGUAGAAAAAUGUCUCCUGAACCAAUUGUUGGAGAUUAUCGACCAUGUGAGAAUUCAGAUGGUGAACAUGCGAAAGAAGUAGCACAAUGGGCAGUAACAGAAUACAACAUAAAACACCGCCAUGAACGUCCUUACUUGUACCUUCUUAGUGUAUUGAAGUGCGAGUCGCAAGUGGUGGCUGGAACCAAUUGGCGUCUGGGGUUGAAGUGUAAGGAUGAAAAUAAUAUUGAGGUAAACUGUGAGGCUGUUGUGUGGGAGAAGAGAUGGGAGAAUUUCUUGGAGCUCACAUCCUUCGUAGUAUUCUACCCAUCUUCUGGCUGACAAGGGAUAUCCCUUGUAACUCCCACCUAAAGUUAUUGCUUUUAUGCAUAUGUAUGUUAUGUACUCCCCUCCUUUACUAUCAAUAUAUAUAGAUCUAUAAAUAAUGGGAUUAUAAAAUAAAUUAAUUAAUCCUAUCAAUAUAUAUGUAUGUUAUGUAUUUUCUAUAUUGUCUUUUGCAUUUCUUUUCUUCUAUUUUAUUUUUAUAAUUACAUAUAGCGUGACAUGAUAUGAGAGAAGAAGAAGUUGGUGUGUUCGUCUACAAAAUUCAACUUGAAGAGAAAAGUAAAAUAAAGCCAAUUAAUGACCGUAUUUGA